CCCCCCCCCCCCCCCCCCAAAAAAAAAAACUUCUUUGAGAUUCUCAUCGAUAGUUGUUGGAUAGAAAAGUAGAUUUGUGCUGCUCCUUAAAUUGAUCAAGUGCCUGUCUGUAUAGUGUAGGGUUGAAAGCAAUACACACUUGGAAUCAAAUAGCUGCAUGCAAUGCCAACUUAGCUUUAAAAAUGUUGUUCUAAAACCUUAAAUUGCCGAAAUUAAUGUUUCAAACAUUUUUGCCAAGUAUCUGUGCUUAUGCUGCAUGUUGCAUCAUUGAUGCUGUAACAGACAGGGACAGUUGGGGUUAGUCCACUUAGAAAAGAUGUAUACUAUAUAUUUUUUUAUAUAUAUUGUUGGAAUAACAUAGCUGUGGGGUUUUUUUUUAUGAGAAGAAGAGGUUGUUGGGACAAAUUCAAGGUCUGGAUCGCAAUCUUGUUAAAUUGGAAGCUGUGUUAAUUGGAGGAUUAGUUCUGGCGCACGAAUAAUUAUUUUGGAGACACAAGUCUUCUGGUGAUUGAGUUUUCAUGCUUGGGCUAAAGGGCUUAAAAUGAAGUCCAAUUUUUCCUUGUCGCGGCUUACUGAUGGAAGUUGGUGUGGUAGCUAGGAAACUCUCAAGAAAGGUGUUGAUUACUUCAAGGUUUUAUAUUUGGUUGAUGAUGAUCUUAGUGGUUUUAUGUGUCCGAUGUCCGAUCUUGACUAUGGAAAUUAACAUUGCUUUCUUUGGGAUGGCUCCCUCUAAAGCUCCAAGAGUGGAUGGGUGUCAUCUUUCUUCAACAUCAUUGGGAUGUAAUUGGUAUGAAUUUCUGUGCUGUGGGAUUUGAAUCCUACCAUCAACAAGACAAACGUGGUGCUUAUUCCUAAAGUGAAUUAUCCAAAAUCUUGGAAUUAUUUUAGGCCGAUAAGCUUAUGUAUUGUUGCUUACAACUAAUUAUUAAGAUUCUUGCGUGAAACUGAUUAUGUCUAAAGUGGGUUAAAUGCCCCGCCGGUGCCAAACCUUGGUUACUUAUAUCCAAUUGGUAUCACACCUUCAAUUUGUUUAUUUUUGGUACCACUCCUAUUAUUUCUGUUUCUUCCGUCAGUACCAAUGAGGAAUCCGACACUUAUUUGCUGAUGUGGCUGCCGGAUUUAUAAAAGAGCACAGAUCUAUUGCCACAUAUGUUGCUGACUCUUUUACUUUAUCCUAGUCAACAAUUAACAACAUCUCAACCCCAAAUAAAUAACCCUAAAUCAGGAAAAUUUCCAAUUUAUGAAACCUAGUUCUUAUUAUUUGGAUCAAUUUACUUUCUCUAAUAAUCGAUUCUGUAGCUUCCUUGUUCUUUAUCUUAUCGAAUAAAUGAAGCAAGAAACAACUGAAAGAGUGUUUAGUAUUGGAGUUGAGCCACUGAUCUAUAUGUGCAUGUGGAAUGGUGAAGCUUCGUCUCUCGAACAGAAAGGAAAUCUGGGCGCAAGUUUUGGGGAUGCUCUCUUAUAGUUCUUCAUUUGUCAUUUUAUUAACUUAAGAACGGACAGUGGUGAAUCUGACCUUACAAUUGAGCUGCUGAAUGCGUACAAGAAUAGAUUAGUUUGCUAAAUUCAAAGCUGCAGAAAAUGAAAGAAGAAAGGAGGAGCAUGAAGUGUAGAAUGGACUUGUCUAAGCUUGGUUGUUAUGGUGUGGCUAGGAUUGUUAUUUAGAAGAUAUACUUUUGUUAGCUUAACUUAAAGAUGUACUUUGGAUACAAUAGUAUUUACAACUACUGUUACUUAUGUAUUUUAAUGAUGAAUGAAUAAAAUGAUAAAUGAGUAUUUGGUUUUUA